AAAAACAUCGCCUCUUGAACCCUAUAAGAGGUCCAGCCUGCCCAGUGACUCUGUUCAACGGCCGCGGUAUCCUAACCGUGCGAAGGUAGCGUAAUCACUUGUUCUUUAAAUGUGGACUAGUAUGAAUGGCACCACGAAGGUUAUACUGUCUCCUUUUUCUAAUCAGUGAAACUAAUCUCCCCGUGAAGAAGCGGGGAUAAAAUUAUAAGACGAGAAGACCCUAUGGAGCUUUAAACAACACAGCACUUGCCACACAUUAUUAAAAUUUCAGAAUCUUUAACUACCCUAAGCAACAUGACUGUGAGUUUUUGGUUGGGGUGACCGCGGAGCAUAACACAACCUCCAUGUUGAAAGAAUCUUUUUCUAAGCUAAGAACUACAACUCUAAGCAUCAAUACAUUGACAUCCAUUGACCCAAUAUACUUGAACAACGAACCAAGUUACCCUAGGGAUAACAGCGCAAUCCGCUUCAAGAGCUCCUAUCGACAAGUGGGUUUACGACCUCGAUGUUGGAUCAGGGUUUCCCAGUGGUGCAGCCGCUACUAAAGGUUCGUUUGUUCAACGAUUAAAACCCUACGUGAUCUGA
rnacentral:rRNA from 1 species